AGUGAACGCUGGCGGUAGGCCUAACACAUGCAAGUCGAACGGCAGCACAGUAAGAGCUUGCUCUUACGGGUGGCGAGUGGCGGACGGGUGAGGAAUACAUCGGAAUCUACUUUUUCGUGGGGGAUAACGUAGGGAAACUUACGCUAAUACCGCAUACGACCUACGGGUGAAAGCAGGGGAUCUUCGGACCUUGCGCGAUUGAAUGAGCCGAUGUCGGAUUAGCUAGUUGGCGGGGUAAAGGCCCACCAAGGCGACGAUCCGUAGCUGGUCUGAGAGGAUGGACGGCCACACGGGAACUGAGACACGUCCCAGACUCCUACGGGGGGCACCAGUGGGGAAUAUUGGACAAGGGGCGCAAGCCUGAUCCAGCCAUACCGGGUGGGUGAAGAAGGCCUUCGGGUUGUAAAGCCCUUUUGUUGGGAAAGAAAAGCAGCAGGUUAAUACCCCGCUGUUCUGACGGUACCCAAAGAAUAAGCACCGGCUAACUUCGUG
rnacentral:rRNA from 1 species